CCUACGGGUGGCACCAGUGGGGAAUAUUGGACAAUGGGCGAAAGCCUGAUCCAGCCAUGCCGCGUGUGUGAAGAAGGUCUUCGGAUUGUAAAGCACUUUAAGCUGGGAGGAAGGGCAGUAAGUUAAUACCUUGCUGUUUUGACGUUACCAGCAGAAUAAGCACCGGCUAACUUCGUGCCAGCAGCCGCGGUAAUACGAAGGGUGCAAGCGUUAAUCGGAAUUACUGGGCGUAAAGCGCGCGUAGGUGGUUCAGCAAGUUGGAUGUGAAAGCCCCGGGCUCAACCUGGGAACUGCAUCCAAAACUACUGGGCUAGAGUAUGGUAGAGGGUGGUGGAAUUUCCUGUGUAGCGGUGAAAUGCGUAGAUAUAGGAAGGAACACCAGUGGCGAAGGCGACCACCUGGACUAAUACUGACACUGAGGUGCGAAAGCGUGGGGAGCAAACAGGAUUAGAUACCCUAGUAGUC
rnacentral:rRNA from 1 species